rnacentral:rRNA from 1 species
UACGGAGGGGGCAAGCGUUGUUCGGAAUUAUUGGGCGUAAAGGGCAYGUAGGUGGUCUAGUUAGUUAAARGUGAAAURCCAGGGCUUAACCYUGGAGCUGCUUUUAAUACUGCUAGACUGGAGUCCGGGAGAGGAUAGCGGAAUUCCUAGUGUAGAGGUGAAAUUCGUAGAUAUUAGGAGGAACACCAGUGGCGAAGGCGGCUAUCUGGUCCGGUACUGACACUGAGGUGCGAAAGCGUGGGGAGCAAACAGGAUUA